rnacentral:tRNA from 1 species
AAGGUUUUAAGUUAAAAUAAACUAAUAAUUUUCAAAAUUAUAUUUAAAGAAGUUAAAUUAUUCUUUAAGCCUUAG